AGAGGGAACCGACCGACCUACUUACCUACCAAAAAAAUUAAAACCAGCAAAAAUAACAAGUUUGUCUAGUUAGCAGGACAGCUUCAUGGAGCCCUCCAAUCCUCGAACGAUGUGUGUCCUGUGGUCGCUGAAAACCGCGCAUAUGAUUAAACAGCGGCAUGUCUGUCAUGGGUCCACAAUCAAUGGUAAAACCAUCUGCAAAUGCUGAAUCUUUGAAUAUUUGGUUAAGAGAAGUCAGAAGAGUAGAUUGUAUUCACAAUCUGCUUAUCCAAAGGAAUGGAUAUCUUCUUUACUUACUAGUCCAAGAUGGUGCUAGAAAUCCCACAGGCCACAACUCUUAGCCAUUAAGUUUACUGCUACCCUCUUUGAAAUUCUAUAAAUACUAACCCUCUGCCUAGUUCCUUGUAUUCCAAUUUCCUAUAGACGAAUUGAAAGAGAAACGCAAAGAUUAGCACAGAUGCCGGGUGGUUGGGGACCGCCGCCGGGAGGACCUCCCGGCCCUCCGGGGGUAUGCGGUUGUUGUGAUUUUCUCUGUGGUGGUAUAUGCCGGCUUGUAUCUUCAUGUUUCUAUCUCCUUUUCUGCUGCUGCAUCUUUGAGAACUGCUGUGGACCAAUGUUUGGUGGGCCACCUGGACCACCUGGACCCCCUGGCCCACCAGGUGGACCUCCUCCCUUCUAAGCAGCCACCAGAUUUGUCGUGUAUUAGUGAACAACAUGUUCAAUGCAGUUAAAUAAAAUUGAUUAUGCAUUUAUAGUUAUUAGCACAUCGAUCGAGGAAGAUAAUCACAUUGAUUUUUUAGACU